UACUGUGCCAGAUGUGUUUAAAAUUGGUUUUGUUUUGUAGGCCAGGGUCAGAACUGGAAUCAGGGCUACAAUAACUACUGGAAUCAAGGCUAUGGCAACCAGGGAUAUGGCUACGGCGGCCAGCAAGGCUACGGUGGAUACGGAGGCUAUGGGAACUAUGAUUACACAGGGGGCUACUACGGCUACGGCGGCGGAUAUGACUACGACCAGGGCAAUACAAGCUAUGGAAAAACUCCAAGACGUGGGGCUCACCAGAGUAGCUACAAGCCAUACUGAUCAUGUGUAGUGCAGGUCGUAAAGCUGCAGAGCAGGAGCCAGCGGUCUGGUCACAGUGAACAUUGGGUCUUUUACUUUUGGAAGUUGGCAGAAUCUGGACUUCUGCUUCAUUUUGUACAGAAAACAUAAGGAACUGGGGGGCGCAAAUGUCACUUCACGUUUGUUUUAUAAUUUUUUUUUUUUUUUUUUUUUUUUCAUUUUGUGUCCUUUUUACAUUUCCAGAGAUGGAAGUGUUAUUUUUUUACUGUACUUUUUGGUACCUUUUUGAAUCUAUUGUAUUGUAUGGUUGUAUUUUACAUCAUGGCUGUGUCUAUCACAUCUAGGCUCAGAGCCCUCAAAAUGCUUUCAAAAUAAACAGUUUUGGUUAAUUUUUC